CAAGGAAGAGUUUUUCCUGGUUACAGAAAUCUGUGGUUCUCUUGGCAUUUUUAGGCACGUUGCUGUCAAUCAACCGGUUCACGCAGAAAGCCCUCCAGAGCAGACCCGAGGCCAGAGCACACCCUUCAGUGCCUGGGCACUUGCACCAUGAAAAAAGAAUUGCAUUGAUCACAUUUCUCACAAUACAUCUAAGAGAAAACAUGAGAAGGAUGAGAAACAUUUAA
rnacentral:lncRNA from 1 species